rnacentral:lncRNA from 1 species
UCAGGAUGGAAGAAAAUUAUACCAGAUACUAAAGACUUCAGGAAUGAAGAAAGAGCAACAGAAAUGGCAAAUAGCUGGGCAAAAAUGGACUGUUUGGUGUUGGAGGCUGAGCAGAGGUGGGCAAAAAGGAACAGAAGGAGAGUAACUGGUGAAGAAGGAGCAAAGAGUGAGGCACAAAAUGAAGUCUCACCAUGUUGCCCAAGCUGGUCUCAAACUCUUGGCCUCCAGAAAUCCUCCAACUUCAGCCUCCCAAGGUGCUGGGAUUACAG